UCCCAGGAGAGCCUACAAAUGCAACGGAAAACAUCUGGCUGGAUAUUGUGAGUGUAGGAGCAAGAACAAACUGUUUUCUAGCAGCUGCAGUUCUCUGCAGGUAUGGGGUUGAGGAUCCAGGGAGGCUGCCUGACCCACAUUGGAAGGAAUGUCUCGAUCCUGGGUUCACUUACAUUAUAAGCAGCGCAAGAAUUCGGCGAAGAAACGAAUGUAGCAGAUAAACAGGCCAGGUGCUGGGGAUGCAAAUGAAAUCGAUGACAGAUGGUGAGUAGCACGCUCACUCACUGUGUGUGUAUAAUGGAUAGAGGUAAUCAAAGUCCUUUGUGAAUUGGUGACUUUCUUUACAUCAAGAACUUUAACACAGGCUUGCUUACACAUCUCUCUACCCUCUGCUCUCAGCCUGCACUUGUGCGCGCAUGCGUGCGCGCGCGCACACACACACACACACACACACACACACACACACACUCCAUCGUUACAUACACAUACAUCCUAAUUAUAGCCUAUGUUACUAUCAGAAAGAUGGGCUAUAACUCUAUUUACAUAACACCACACACAAAUAUCAUUCCACCAAAUCAACCUGUAUACACUAAACAACAGAUUUUUUUUCUGAGAAUACCACGCUAAGGAAACAAAGCAACCUGUUUUGAUGAAAGAAGUUCUAUUCAGUAAGCGAAGUGAUACUUAGACCAAGAGCCUGGGCUUCAGUGGGAAAGAACUGCUUCUGGCUCAUUACAUUGCAUUCCAGCAGAACCUUUAAAACAUCAGUGAGCAUUCCGAUGGGUUUCCUUUUUACUUUCAAAUAAUGGUUAUGAAGUCACAACACUCAAAGAAAAUGCUGGCUUCAAUCAACUUUUAGAUUUAUAGAUUGUGUGCAGAUCUGCCUCCUCUCCAUUCUGGUACCAAGAAGGUUGCUUUAUUUUACUGUGUCUUUCUAAUAAAGACAAAACUCUGCACUGUUAAUUCUAGGACACUCAGUUUUCUAACUUUAUUCUACUUCUUUAGCAUCGUAUUGGCUACACCAGGUUUUUGCCUUUGCCUGUAAUUUUUGUAAGUUUGCUAAUAUCUAUAAUUAGCUUGCUAUAAUUUUUAUUUGGAUCAGGUAUAAUCUACAGAUAAAAUUGGGAAUAAAAGACACUUAAAAAAAUUCUAGGACACAAAUUCAUAUCCCAUGUGGAAUUCAGAAAAUUGUUCUUCUCAGGAUCAUAACGUUAUGAACACACAGCUCACGGAGAAUUACCUUGCAUGUGCUCAAAUCCUAUUUCCAGUCCUAGAUUGUUGUCCUAGCUUUAUUUCCCUCUUUCUGAUGGCUUACUGGACAUUUCUACUUGGAUGUUUAAGUGUCACUUUAACAUAAGAACACCCAAGAUUCCAUGCAAAGUCAUUUUUUUUUUUUUCCAAAAUCAAGUUCACAUGGAAAGUGGUCCAUUCUCCAGACUUAAAAUUCUGGAACUUUUCUCAACUCUUCUCUUCUGUUCAUAUACAGUCGAAAUACAAAACCUAUUGAUUUUUCCUUCUAAAAUGCCCUAACAUUCAUCAUUUCCUCCUGUCCCACCUUUGGGUUCUAAACUGGGCAUUGUAGCUGGACCAUUUCAUCAGCCAGGCCAGCUGCAUGGUUUCUUCCGUCUCUUUCUUCUCCCUCUUUCCCUAGGUCCCUCAAGACUAGCCUUCUCUUCGUGUUGCUUUCAGAGCUCUCUCUUUCCUAACUCACUCAAACCCUGGAUGGCCUUCAAGCUUCUCCAGCCAGACCCAGUUCCCACUGGCUCUCACAGGGCACAGUUUGCUCCACUGGGGCCUGAUUCCUGUGCAUCGCCAUGUUUGUUGUGGGUUAAUCUCCCAUGAUCCAUGCCUUCACCAUGUUCCUUCAACCUUGGGGCCUUUGCACAGACUGUCCCUUUGUCUGGGAUGCCUCCAACCCCUCUCCCUUUCCCUAAACUUAACAAGGCCUGCUUGAAUUCCCUUCCCUGUGAAGAUUUCCUUGACUGCCCUCCCCGAACCUCACACAGUCAGUCAGCAACCCACAAUUUAGUUCGUCAUCCUUUGCUUUUUUUUUUUUUUGAAUUAUUCUCUGGGAGCUUCCCAUGUGAUUGAGGUGGCCCACCUCCACUGGGAGUCCUUCCUUUGAGCAGAACUGCAUGUUGUAUAUAUCUGUGCCCAAGCCCCCUGGCACAUACCCAUGGUGCCUUGAAGCCACUGUACCUGCUUUCUUACUGAACACCUCAAGUAUCCUUGCUCUUCACCAACACUUCAUCAUUCGACUCAGAUCAUCACCCCUUCUCUUUGUGCCCAUGAGGUUUUAUUCUAACCACAGACUCCUCCGACAAAUGCCUGCUGUCUUUGACCGCUCUUCUGACUAGGUGCCCUACCUUAAGAAAGCCUCCCUCUGGCUCCCCUUGGUCCUGGGACCCUACUUUGGAAUCCCUACUCUUUCUCCUUUGAGGAGUCUGCUCAGCUAAUCUACCCCUAUGAGUGUUGAGCAAUAGUAAGUGCCUAAUUAGUGUAUGUUCAUUAAUGCAUCGUUUAUGGGAAAAAUACACUUCUCUCCUGUGUUUUUAGACUACAGAGCCAGCCUGCCAGACCAUUCUAAAGUGCACUUGACUUGCCCUGACUUUAUGUAGAUAUAUGUGCCUACCAGAACACCUCUAUGCACCAGGCCUUAAAUUUGAUUCCAAGAAGUUAAAAUGACAUUUGCAUUGCAGGAUUCUGUGCUUAAGGCCGCAAAAAGCACUGGAGUUGGCCUGGUGGUACUAAUUUUGUGUUGACUCUCCCUCAGGGAAUAGUAUGCUUUUGUACUGUUUCUGAUUUCCUAUUAGAUGGCUUUAAAGGAAGUAUAUUAUAUCCUGAACCUAAAAGGAUCAGCUCUUUAAUAAACCAAAUUGACCUUUCUGCUUUUUUCCCAAGGGGAUUAGGGUCCUCCUCCGUGCCUUGAAGCCCCCUUUCUUCCCUGGAAACAAAUUGAUUUUGUGAAUGUUUUGUUUGGAUUUUUUACAUGACAACCACAUAUACGGUGAAGAGUAAUGACCAAAAGUCAUACUCCUGGGCAACUGGGUAUGGCCAGAUGAGAUGAUAAAUAUAAUUUGUUGAAUUACAGAAGUAGCUCCUGUUCUGCUGGCUGUGUGUUCAGCUUCAACAUCUUGGUAAAGAGAUGAUGUCACAGAGUCACAAAGCAAGUGGCAGACCACCUGUUAAGCACCCGGUCACAAGAUAAAACCAAGAGCCCUGGGUUUAUAAAUGUUUCCCUUUAAGGCUCACAAUUCCUAUUUGAAGUUAUACUAUUUUCAACAAAAUUUUUUUUAUUACCAAAGCUCUAUGUUAAGGAUAAUCCAACAUCAGAAGACAUGAUGUUUCCGUACCUACCUAAGGCACUGGACUUAUCGUGGUGGAAAUGGGCAGUCUCACAACUCAUGGAUGAUUGGAACAUUAAUAAUUCUUUAGCACGAUGGAACAAUAUUAAUACUCUAAAUGAAAGAUGCAUCAGUACACAUGGCUUUUAUGAGCCCAUGUGAGAGUAACAGAUAUAUUGGGAAACAGAAGUGUGAUUUGAUUGUUCUGACUCUAGAUCAUCUUUUUCACAACUCAAAACCGAGAUUUUGAUUCAUUGCAAUUGUAAUGCUCAGUAUUACCACCUCAAGCUCUUGCUGCAAAUUAAAUUUACUUAUAUCCCUUAAAUAUCCUCCCUCUCCAACAAUUUUGGCCUUUCUUUUGCACAGGAGAAAUUCUGCGACUGAGUUCCAAAAUCUCUCCUUCCUAAUGCAUCUGUAAACAGCUGCAGCUCCCUGUUCAAUAUUGGCUGCAGCUGCCAUAAUGCCCCAGAAGGACAACCAAAUGGAGAGAGCUCCCCUUAAUUGCCUUGCCACCCCUGACUGAAUUUAUGUUUUGUUUUUAAGUAACAUUUUGUUGCAUUUGCAUUACUGAAAUUACCAGGUUACAGUAAACUAUAUUCCCAAAUCAAUGUCCCCCCAAAGAAAGCAGACGUGAACUUUAUCACCAACAACAAAUUCAAUUUUCACAUUACCUACUGACAAAGAGGCUUGUGCCAACAACACUUGCGGAUUCCUGAAAAGUCCGCCAAACCAGAGGAAAUCCACAAAUCUCCGAUUUUAAUGUCUCAUAGUUUUGCUAUUUAACCAUUGCUUUUCACCUCUCGGUAAAAAUUAAUCUUUACACUGUUUUGUUUCUGUUUCAAAAUCAGAUAGGGUGACACAUAAAGAUAUUCCCAAAUGGAUCCCUCAUGCAUUGCUGGUGGGAAUGUGCAGGCUCUAUGGAAAACGGUUUGGCAGUUCCUCAAAGAGUUAAACAUAAAAUUAUCAUAUAAUCCAUCAAUUCCACUCCUAGGUACAUACCCAAAAGAACUGUAAACAGGGACUCAGGUACUUGUACACCAAAGCUUAUGGCAGCAUUAUUUGAAAUAGAUUAAAGGUGGAAACAACCUAAAUGGCUAUCAACAGAUCAAUGAAUAAAUGCAAUAUGGUUUAUACAAAUAAUGGAAUAUUACUCAGCCAUAAAAAGGAAUGAAAUUAUAGUACAUGCUACAACAUAGAUGAACCUUGAAAGUACUCUACUAGGUAAAAUAAACUAGGUACAAGAUGACAAAUAUAUGAUCCCACUAAUAUGAAGUAUCUAGAAUAAACAAAUUCAUAGAGAUAGAAUGUUGAAUAGUAGUUAUCAGAGGCUGGAGAGAGGGGGAAUGGGAAUUAUUGGUUAACGGGCACAGAGUUUCUGUUUGGGAUGAUGAAAAAGUUCUAGAAAUCGAUGGUAAUAAUGGCUACAGUACUCAGUGGCAUUGAAGCUUUAUACACUUUAAAUUAGUAACUGUUAUAUGUAUUUUACCACAAUAAAAAUGUUAUUUCCAAACCA